rnacentral:rRNA from 1 species
AUUGAACGCUGGCGGCAUGCCUUACACAUGCAAGUCGAACGGUAACAGGUCUUCGGAUGCUGACGAGUGGCGAACGGGUGAGUAAUACAUCGGAACGUGCCUAGUAGUGGGGGAUAACUACUCGAAAGAGUGGCUAAUACCGCAUGAGAUCUACGGAUGAAAGCAGGGGAUCGCAAGACCUUGUGCUACUAGAGCGGCCGAUGGCAGAUUAGGUAGUUGGUGGGAUAAAAGCUUACCAAGCCGACGAUCUGUAGCUGGUCUGAGAGGACGAUCAGCCACACUGGGACUGAGACACGGCCCAGACUCCUACGGGAGGCAGCAGUGGGAAUUUUGGACAAUGGGCGAAAGCCUGAUCCAGCAAUGCCGCGUGCAGGAUGAAGGCCUUCGGGUUGUAAACUGCUUUUGUACGGAACGAAACGGUGAGCUCUAAUACAGUUUGCUAAUGACGGUACCGUAAGAAUAAGCACCGGCUAACUACGUGCCAGCCGCCGCCGUAA